UACGGGGGGGGGGCAAGCGUUGUUCGGAAUUACUGGGCGUAAAGGCUCGUAGGUGGCCAACUAAGUCAGACGUGAAAUCCCUCGGCUUAACCGGGGAACUGCGUCUGAUACUGGAUGGCUUGAGUUCGGGGAGAGGGAUGCGGGAAUUCCAGGUGUAGCGGUGAAAUGCGUAGAUAUCGGAGGAACACCGGUGGCGAAGGCGGCAUCCUGGACCGACACUGACACUGAGGAGCGAAAGCCAGGGGAGCAAACGGG
rnacentral:rRNA from 1 species